GUUUCCAUUCCUUAUAGGUAGGAUAAAAAG
rnacentral:other from 1 species